CAAAAAAAAAUAACACUUUAAUUUUUAUUACAUUAUUUUUUUUUAUUCUAAUUAAUAAUUUUAU
rnacentral:tRNA from 1 species